AUUUAUUCCAAUACAGUGACACCAUGCCUUAGGCCCCUCACUUGUUGGUUCAUACCAGUUUACUCUUAGGUUCAUAUUUCACCCUUGUUGGAGCUCAAACAACACUAUUCUUUGGUUUAGACCAUACCUUUAUCAUAACUUUUUUUCACCUCUCACCACUAGUUCUUUGAACUACGGAGCUCUGAAUUCCUCAUUGCACUAUGGGGACACGUAGGCAUGAGAGCC
rnacentral:lncRNA from 1 species